rnacentral:lncRNA from 1 species
AACCCCUCAUAACAUAUGCACAUUAUGAGAGUAAGAGUCUCGAACGAGUUUUAAAACACAAAACGAGGAUCAAGACACAAUCUUCGAUGUCUACUUGGCAUCGUCACCAUGAUGACCGACCCCGGAGCUCAAUGAUACCAAUUUGCAGAUGUGCAGUGUGUGAACCAGUAUAGCCUACUGUCGCUCUGAAAUGGAAAGUAAGGGUCAGUGCUAAUCACUAAGUGAAGACCUCUGCCCUAGUCACUCUAAGGUACAAUUAAUCAUAUAGAAAGUAUAUAGUAUAUAACACAUAAGGCUAAUUUUAUAAUCUAAUUCAUAUCUAUAUUUUAUUUGGGAUCUCGGCUCACAUAUGCUGAUGACCCACGUAGAGUUAGUGGCACUAAAAACAUAUGCUGACGACCCACAUAGAGUUACUGGCACUAAAAUGACCCACGUAGAAUUAGUGUGGCGCUUAUCAAAACUCAUGUUAAUAGUUAGUUGUGGAGCUUAUCAAGGCCCAUCGCGUAACAGAAGUGCAAUAAGCACAAUCGCCAGCAUACAGGCCUUAACUAGGUGAUCAAUCAAUUACCAUAUUUUUUCAAUAAUCAGUAAUAACUAUUGCUCAGAUUAACACAUAUAUUAAAUCAGAUGUAUCGGUAAAGUAAUAGAACCUGUACCAUAUUAAGUCAUAGAUAGGGUAAAGAAGCAUAUAUAAUCUUAGCAUUAAACGGACAUCACCCUAUCAUGCAUAUGGCCUUUAAUAAUAAUAAAGCCAUAAUGGAACGUCUAACCCGGUCGGAUACGCAGGAGACCCUCACCAGAAAUAGCCCUUGAGAAAACUGAUAAUAACUUCCGAGUUGAGAUCGUACGUAAUUCAAAGGACUUGAAGUAUGAACCAGGUAUGAGGCACUUGCUUCUUCUAUAUUUCCUAUAUUUAAGUAUCCUACAUCAAACUAUUUCUGCCUUACAACUUAAUCGAUACUGUACUAUUUAUAAUGGAGAUUGGGG